rnacentral:rRNA from 1 species
UACGAAGGACCCAAGCGUUAUCCGGAUUUAUUGGGUUUAAAGGGUGCGUAGGCGGGUUGUUAAGUCAGUGGUGAAAGCCCAUCGCUCAACGGUGGAACGGCCAUUGAUACUGCAAAACUUGAAUUAUUGGGAAGUAACUAGAAUAUGUAGUGUAGCGGUGAAAUGCUUAGAUAUUACAUGGAAUACCAAUUGCGAAGGCAGGUUACUAUCAAUAUAUUGACGCUGAUGGACGAAAGCGUGGGGAGCGAACAGG